GACGAACGCUGGCGGCGUGCCUAAUACAUGCAAGUAGAACGCUGAAGGAGGAGCUUGCUUCUCUGGAUGAGUUGCGAACGGGUGAGUAACGCGUAGGUAACCUGCCUGGUAGCGGGGGAUAACUAUUGGAAACGAUAGCUAAUACCGCAUAAUAGUAGAUGUUGCAUGACAUUUGCUUAAAAGGUGCAAUUGCAUCACUACCAGAUGGACCUGCGUUGUAUCAGCUAGUUGGUGGGGUAACGGCUCACCAAGGCGACGAUACAUAGCCGACCUGAGAGGGUGAUCGGCCACACUGGGACUGAGACACGGCCCAGACUCCUACGGGAGGCAGCAGUAGGGAAUCUUCGGCAAUGGACGGAAGUCUGACCGAGCAACGCCGCGUGAGUGAAGAAGGUUUUCGGAUCGUAAAGCUCUGUUGUAAGAGAAGAACGAGUGUGAGAGUGGAAAGUUCACACUGUGACGGUAUCUUACCAGAAAGGGACGGCUAACUACGUG
rnacentral:rRNA from 1 species